UGGGACUGGGCAAACUGGGAUUGGGGAAACUGGGAUUGGGGAAACUGGGACUGAGGGAAACUGGGACUGGGGAAACUGGGACUGAAAGAAACUGGGACUGGGGAAACGGACUGGGGGGAGACAGGGCUGGAAGAGACUUGGAAUGGGGGGGAGACAUCAGUCACUCCUUAGGCCCAAAGGUCACCUGCUCCAGUUGCUUCAGAGCAUCGCUUGUCUGGAAAACAGGAGAAAAAACAAGCGAAGAAUCUCCAUGGCAGAACUGGAAGAACAGUUUUGUUCCCUUCUGUUUUCUCAAGAAGACAAUUUUCAAGUAAAUUCAUGCUGUUAAUAGGACGUAUUCACAUUUAACAAUAAACCAUAAACUCUUGGUGGUGGUGUACCACUAACGAGCUGUCCUGCUCCCAGUGAGGAGCUGGGAAUGCUCCUGUGGUUCCCUUCAUCAAUUAAAGGCACAAAGAUUCCCCUUGUCAGAAAGGGGGAUUUUUCAGAAAGUCAUGGGAUUUUUGGCACUUGAGCAAUUCUGGUGUAAGGUGGAGAUUCUCAGAUACAAAUGUGUGCAUGCAGAUGCUAAACAUUUCCUGGCACAUAUUCCCAUAACUACCAUGGCUUGGUACUCAAGAAAGAAAAAACAUUAACUUGCAGUUGAAUCACGUAGUUUUGGGUCCAUUCCACUGAAAGUGAACAGUCAUAUAUAUAUAUUUUGUAAUUACACAGUUAAAAAACUGUGAUAUGAGGUUCUUUAUUUUUGCUAUUAUUUAAAACAAAAUGGAAACUACUGUGGAAAACAGAAUUAUAGAAUCCAUUUUCCAUUAAGGAUGGAAAAGACCUUGAGGAUCACCAACCAACAGCACUGUCCCCAUGCUCACCACUAAGCCAUGUCCUUAACUGCCAUAUCCAUGUGUUUUUUGAACAAUUCCAGGGAUGGAGACUUCACCACCCACCUCCAAGCCUGUUCCAGUGCUUGACAACCCUUCCCAUGGAGAAGUGUGUGAGAAAAUCCUGUUAAGUUUAAAGACAGAGAAAGGAAAUAAUUCCAAAAUUAUUGUUGUUAUUCAAAACUCCUUUUGUUUUUGAUAGGAACAUUAGAUUGCAUAAAUGGUUCUUAUGAAGGCACCUUUCCCAUCCCAGCGACUGCAGUUUGAUUUUUCCCUCGCUGCAGUUGUGAGAGUACAAGGCACUUAAUGCAGUCCUAACUUGCCACCUCGUGGCAUUUCUGUGAAUUACCAGAAUUCCGUUUCUUUAAAUCAGUUUAGGAUUAUGUUCAUUUCCUUAGGAGAGGGUUCUUGUUUGCCCAUUCACCCUCGCAGCCAGGGAAAACCAGCUGGGCACUGUUUUGCAGCCUGGAACCGCAGAGAGGUCACAGUGGUUGAGCCAGGCACUGUGUGGCUGCCAGGAGGUAAAACAGGGAUACCAGACACAACAGCAUCUAUUGAUUUUUAAUUAAUUAUUUUUGCUUAGCAAUUGUAUAGAAUAUUCAUUUGCUUUUAGAGCAAUGCCUGUGUUUUCAUGUUGGGAUAUGUUGGGAUAUGUUGGAUUGCUUUAUCUUUACAGGUAGCAGGAACAUGAAAUUGCAGAGAAGAAAAACCCCAUAGGAUCACCUACUGUUGUCCUUAUUCCUGCUUAGGAUAAAAGUGCAAAUUUAAAUCUUCUUAUUAAAUAUGUGUAGCUCAACAGACUUUUGCUUUUUCCGUAAUAUUCCAAUUGCUGUUAUUGAGAUGGAGGGGGCUUCUGCUGUGUUUAUAUUUUUUAGUAACAAUUAGAACUAUGCUGCUUUCUUUCAACUGUUUAUUAACAUGUUUGUGUUUGGUUUUCUUUGUGAGAAAACAGACAAUAUGCCAGCAGGAGUUUCUAAACAAGUUUUUUUUCACUUGAAUAUAGAGAUAGAAUUUUUAUCAGAUAAUCUUUCACUAGCACAGAAAGUUAAGAGCUUGUAGAGCUUCCAGAGGGAAUGAUUGCUUAGAACAGCUUCUUUCCCAUGGAGGGGCCUAAAUGCUGAUUUAUCAGUGCUGGAAGUAAUCUGGAUCUUCAUUAUUUUGUUUCUCAUCUUCCUCCCCGCCCUGUUUCCCCUCCAAAACAAAACACUGUCUCUCACAAGCUUUGUUUGAAGAGAUUAACACAUUCAAACACAAUAUUAAUACCAGUGAUAAGGAAAUAAUUAAUUGCCUGUGUUUGCCUGCCUGCUAGGGUAAGACUGCCGUGUAAAUAAGUUGACCCAGCAGAACUCCAGUCAAACUGCUGGAAGCAGUGGACUGAUCCCCGUUGGAUUCACUGCUCUCCAGAUGAGACCAAUUAAAGGGAAAAUUCCAGGUAUUUUCUGGCUAUCAAGGAAUUACAGAAUCAUAGAAUAUCCUGAGUUGGAAGGAACCCACAAGGAGCAUCGAUAUCCAACUCCUGGCUGGCCUUAGAGUUUUCUUGUAACCACAGAAUGGGACCACAAGAGGUCAACAGCGACCUAUGAAGACCUCAGAAUUAGCUGUUCUUCAGGAUGAAGAGGCUGAAUGACGAUGCAGGAACAGAGGCAUCCAGGUCUGUGUCUUGCCCAGAUCUAGACUGGAAUUGGGAAGAGAGGCUGUUCCCAAGCCUUGUAGCACUGCGUGGUUUUCCUGCCUCCUUUUUUACACUGCGGAGAUCAUGAGCACCUUUAAGCAAUGGCAGCUGAUCCCAGGGAAAGAGACAAGGAGGGAGGAAGGAAAGGAAAGAAGGAAGGGCAGAAGAAAUGUUUUUAGAAGCAAGGCAGAGCCAGCAGCGCUCUGGGAGCACAUCCCUCAAUGAACAGUGUGGAAAGGCAGCAGUGAUUUUAGGAUUUGCCCCAACCACCUCCUCUUGAAUUAAAUGGAGAUAUGCAUUUAAGGCUUAUUUAUGAGCUGCAAAUCAGCUGUUUCUGUGCACAGGUUGCAAUAAUUAUUAUGAGUAAAGAGUUCCUAUAGAGGUAGAAAGUCUAUUGACAUUUCCAGUGUGAAAGGUGGGAAAUCCUGGCUGUCUGUAAAAGAUGGAAGUGAUGGUGGGAGAUGGAAGUGAUGCCUGGGCUCUUAGAGAGGAAGAUGGUGUGGGCUUUUUACGUGAGUUGUCCUCAUCAAUGAAAGUCUGAAAAAACAGAACAUCUGAGAAUUCUGCCCCUGUGUGAGAUUUGUCUGAGCUCUGGGAGUCGAGAGUGAAC